UUUUCUUAUAUGAAGAUAUAUUAAAGUAUUAAGUAACCAGUAAAUCCAAGAAAAAACAAAUUAAGUGAUUUUAAGAAAACGUUUAUAGCCAGAAGCAAUAUAUAAACUGAACAAAUGAAACUAUAAACUAUAAUAACAACAAUAAUUUUGAAAUAUAAUUAUCGUGUGAUCAGCAAAAUAAUGACAACUAUAUCUGUAAAAAUCCUCUUUCAUGAUCUGUAUUAUAAGUUCCAUGUAUUCCUAUUACACAACUCCAAAUAUUAAUGGAUUCAACUACUACAUCAUAUUCAAAUGCCCUAAUUAUGUAUUUUUUACAAGACAACAAAAUAAAGUAAUGCCUUCCAAAAGGAAAAGUAAGUAAUAGUUGAGAUAAAUGUGUAUCUCCCAUUAGGAAUUAAAGGAUUUUUAUAACCAGCGUAAUAUUUAUUGCUUUUAAAACUUACAUUAAGUAAAAAUUGGGAAACAUCAUAUAUUGGAAAACAUCGAAAAUUAUAAAUAAUUAAUAUAUCCUCUCUCUCAUUGUAUAUUGGAAAACAUCGACUACAUCGACUAUGGAAAACAUCGACUACAUCGACUAUGGAAAACAUCGACUACCUCUGCGUCUACUGAAAUGCCUUGAUAACUAAAAAUAUGAAAUAUAGCGUCUUUCUCUAUGUAUAUUGGAAAAUAUCGAAAACUAUAACUAUGAAUUAUAUCCCCAUUCAUUAUAUAUAUUGGAAGUUCCAUUUAUAACGUCUAUA